CCUACGGGAGGCAGCAGUGGGGAAUAUUGGGCAAUGGGCGCAAGCCUGACCCAGCAACGCCGCGUGAAGGAAGAAGGCUUUCGGGUUGUAAACUUCUUUUCUCAGGGACGAAGAAAGUGACGGUACCUGAGGAAUAAGCCACGGCUAACUACGUGCCAGCAGCCGCGGUAAUACGUAGGUGGCAAGCGUUAUCCGGAUUUACUGGGUGUAAAGGGCGUGUAGGCGGGGAAGCAAGUCAGAUGUGAAAACCACGGGCUCAACCUGUGGCCUGCAUUUGAAACUGUUUUUCGUGAGUGCUGGAGAGGCAAUCGGAAUUCCGUGUGUAGCGGUGAAAUGCGUAGAUAUACGGAGGAACACCAGUGGCGAAGGCAGAUUGCUGGACAGUAACUGACGCUGAGGCGCGAAAGCGUGGGGAGCAAACAGGAUUAGAUACCCCUGUAGUC
rnacentral:rRNA from 1 species